rnacentral:rRNA from 1 species
UACGUAGGGGGCAAGCGUUGUCCGGAAUCAUUGGGCGUAAAGCGCGUGUAGGCGGUCCGGUAAGUCCGCUGUGAAAGUCGAGGGCUCAACCCUCGAAUGCCGAUGGAUACUGUCGGGCUAGAGUGCGGAAGAGGCGAGUGGAAUUCCUGGUGUAGCGGUGAAAUGCGCAGAUAUCAGGAGGAACACCUAUUGCGAAGGCAGCUCGCUGGGACGUUACUGACGCUGAGACGCGAAAGCGUGGGGAGCAAACAGG